CCCUAUCUAACAAAACUACUCCUUUCUUCGCAACUGAAGUCAUUGAUGACAUGAUUGUUAUUUACACGAGAUCCUUAGGCGUCUGGACAUAGAAUAGGCCUAGAAGGAGAAGUGCGUGAAGGGCAGCCUAGAUCGGUUAAAUUCUUUAUGCUUACUAGGCCAACAUUGAACCCAAAUCACAAGACAAUUGGCAUUACAAAAAUUUACUUAAACACAAAUUAAUCAAAGCUCAAGACAUUCGAAAAUUGAAUUAACAUCUUUAAAUGGGACUUCUAUAAAAAAAUCCAAGCCUUAUUGAAUUAUCAAACUCUUUUAAGAACAUGGACAAGUACUUAAAACUGUGGGGUAUGAAAUCUAAGAGCACGAGAGCCAAAUUUUAUGGCUAGGGGAUGGUAUUCUCUGGCUUCAAGUUAAGCCCAUCAGCCUAAGCACUUUGCAUUUUUAGUAUACAUUUGAAGACAAAAAAAGAAACAUUUUAUGACAUUAAGACCUAACCCUUUUAACUACACAACAAGCCUUUAUGAAAAGGAACAGGAGCAUGCUUUCGUUUCCAAGACAAAGAAAACCUUUCAUUCUUAAAGAACAUGCAAACCAUACAGAUCUGAAAAUAAACAUCACUAUUAAUUAUUAUCUGAAACAUCACCUUUAGUAGUUUCAGCAGAAUGCUACAACUAUUCGUGUCAGCAUAUCAAAAUACGAUACUAUAUGUUGAGUUUGUUCAAGAGCCUAAACCAACAUUAAAAGAAAAAACAGACAAUCACAAGUUGUCUAACAAAACCUCACGUUCCAAUUCUAGAUAUCAUACUCACAUUGAAACCAACAAUACCAAAGAAAAGGUAAAAUAUAUCUAACAACAAUCCUUUAUCAGCUCAUAACUUAAAACAAUUUAUCAAAUGGGCUUAACAGGCACCUUAAUUGUGACAACUUAAUGAGCAUAUAAACAUAUAAUAAGACUUAAUGAACAUGAAACCAAAAUACCCUAAGAUAGACUGCUAUGAACAAUGGUAUCAUCAUCAUUUCAUUCCCAUUUCAACAUGCCAUUUGAGGUUGGAUGAGUACCUGAUUACAACAGUAAAUAAAGAAGAUAAGCUAAAGAAUUAAGAUGAAACAAUAGCAAUAGUCAUCAAUGAAAACAGCCAAACGAACAACAAAUAUCCAACCUUCGACCCAGCUUCAAGCCCCAGAAUCAAUACCAGUUUCAGAACUUUGAAAAUAUGACUGAAAGGAAACUUAAGAACUAGGCAGUUCUCUGCAAAUUUUGAUAUGUUAGAAUCUAAAAGAAGCUCAGUUGUUCCUCAAGUUUU
rnacentral:lncRNA from 1 species